UACGAAGGGGGCUAGCGUUGCUCGGAAUUACUGGGCGUAAAGGGCGCGUAGGCGGUACUUCAAGUCAGGCGUGAAAGCCCCGGGCUCAACCUGGGAACCGCGCUUGAGACUGGAGAACUAGAGUUCGGGAGAGGAUGGUGGAAUUCCCAGUGUAGAGGUGAAAUUCGUAGAUAUUGGGAAGAACACCGAUGGCGAAGGCAGCCAUCUGGACCGACACUGACGCUGAGGCGCGAAAGCGUGGGGAGCGAACAGG
rnacentral:rRNA from 1 species